ACAUGCCUACAGCAUAGCAUCAAUGCACUAGAUCACAUUAGAACUCUACAGUUAAGUGUGCUCAGGCUAGAGUAGUACUAGGAUGGGUGACCGCUCAGGAAGUUAUAGUGUUUUACAUGCG
rnacentral:rRNA from 1 species